UACGGAGGGUGCAAGCGUUAUCCGGAUUUACUGGGCUUAAAGGGUGCGUAGGCGGGUUGGUAAGUCAGUGGUGAAAUCCCCGAGCUUAACUUGGGAACUGCCAUUGAUACUAUCAGUCUUGAAUACCGUGGAGGUCAGCGGAAUAUGACAUGUAGCGGUGAAAUGCUUAGAUAUGACAUAGAACACCAAUUGCGAAGGCAGCUGGCUACUCGGAUAUUGACACUGAGGCACGAAAGCGUGGGGAGCAAACAGG
rnacentral:rRNA from 1 species